rnacentral:rRNA from 1 species
GAUGAACGCUAGCGGCAGGCCUAACACAUGCAAGUCGAGGGAUAAGCCUUCGGGCUAAGACCGGCGCACGGGUGCGUAACGCGUAUACAAUCUGCCUUUUAUCCGGGGGAUAGCCCGAAGAAAUUUUGAUUAAUACCCUAUGGUAUAAGAGCACGACAUCGUGCACUUAUUAACGCUACGGCGGUAAAAGAUGAGUAUGCGUUCUAUUAGCUAGUUGGAGAGGUAACGGCGACGCAAGGCGACGAUAGAUAGGGGUUCUGAGAGUGAUGUCCCCCACACUGGUACUGAGAUACGGACCAGAAUGCUACGGGAGGCAGCAGUGACGAAUAUUAGACAAUGGUCGGAAGACUGAUCCAGCCAUGCCGCGUGCAGGAUGACGGCCUUAUGGGUUGUAAACUGCUUUUGUAAGGGAAGAAUAAGGAGUACGUGUACUUUGAUGACGGUACCUUACGAAUAAGCAUCGGCUAACUCCGUG